GACGAACGCUGGCGGCGUGCUUAACACAUGCAAGUCGAACGGUGAAGCGCCUUCCUUUUUGGUGGGUGUGGAUGAGUGGCGAACGGGUGAGUAACACGUGAGUAACCUGCCCCCUUCUUCUGGAUAACCGCAUGAAAGUGUGGCUAAUACGGGAUAUUCUGGGUCUGUCGCAUGAUGGGUCUGGGAAAGAUAUUGUUUCGGUGGGGGAUGGGCUCGCGGCCUAUCAGCUUGUUGGUGGGGUGAUGGCCUACCAAGGCGGUGACGGGUAGCCGGCCUGAGAGGGUGGACGGUCACACUGGGACUGAGACACGGCCCAGACUCCUACGGGAGGCAGCAGUGGGGAAUAUUGAACAAUGGGCGAAAGCCUGAUGCAGCGACGCCGCGUGAGGGAUGGAGGCCUUCGGGUUGUGAACCUCUUUCGCCAGUGAAGCAGGCCUGCCUCGUUUGUGGGUGGGUUGACGGUAGCUGGAUAAGAAGCGCCGGCUAACUACGUG
rnacentral:rRNA from 1 species